rnacentral:rRNA from 1 species
UACGUAGGGGGCAAGCGUUGUCCGGAAUCAUUGGGCGUAAAGCGCGUGUAGGCGGCUUUGCAAGUCGGAUGUGAAAGCCCUCGGCUCAACCGAGGAAGUGCGUUCGAAACUGCAGAGCUUGAGUGCCGGAGAGGGUGGCGGAAUUCCCCAAGUAGAGGUGAAAUUCGUAGAUAUGGGGAGGAACACCGGUGGCGAAGGCGGCCACCUGGACGGUCACUGACGCUGAGACGCGAAAGCGUGGGGAUCAAACAGG